CGGGGUUGAAGUUUGAUGCCGCAAUUCGCGAGUUCCUCAAAGGAUUUCGCCUUCCUGGGGAGGCACAAAAGAUUGAUCGCAUAAUGGAAAAAUUUGCUGAGCGGUAUGCAUUUGUAGAAUCUUAAUACAGUUUUUCUUUGACAUUUUCUAUUGUGGUCCUCAAAUAAUUAUGUGAUGACUUGCAGGUACUGUGCUGAUAACCCCGGGCUCUUUAAAAAUGCAGAUACUGCUUAUAUUCUUGCUUAUGCUGUUAUAAUGUUAAAUACUGAUGCACAUAAUCCAAUGGUAUGGCCUAAGAUGUCAAAAUCAGAUUUCGUACGUUUGAACACUGCAAGUGAUGAAGAGGAAUGUGCUCCUAAGGAGCUCUUGGAGGAACUUUAUGAUUCAAUUAUCAAUGAAGAGAUAAAGAUGAAAGAUGAUCUUCAUGCGGCAAAAACUAGUAAAGUAAGACCUGAAAUAGAAGAAAAGGGUCGCCUCGUCAAUAUCCUCAAUUUAGCUCUCCCAAGACUGAAAUCAGCAAGUGAUACAAAGGCAGAAAGUGAAAAAAUUAUUAAGCAGACCCAAGCAGUUUUCAAAAACCAGGGACAGAAGAGGGGUGUUUUUCAUGUUGCUCAGCAGGUUGAGCUUGUUAGACCAAUGGUCGAGGCUGUAGGAUGGCCUUUGCUUGCAACAUUUUCUGUAACUAUGGAGGAAGGUGACAACAAGCCUAGGGUUGUAUUGUGCAUGGAAGGGUUUAAGGCUGGUAUUCAUCUUACUCGUGUUCUUGGGAUGGAGACCAUGCGCUAUGCUUUCUUGACAUCCUUAGUGAGGUAAGAAAAUUAACCCUUUCUAUUUAUGAAUAUGCAUUGUUUAUUUCUUUAUUUUUCCCAUUUAAUUAUAUGGAUGUAAUGGUGUCUUUUCCUUCAUUAACCUUUUGCAGGUUUACAUUUCUGCAUGCUCCCAAGGAAAUGCGUAGUAAAAAUGUUGAGGCAUUGCGAACUCUCCUUGCCUUAGCUGACACGGAUAUGGAUGCUUUGCAAGAUGCUUGGAAUGCUGUUUUAGAAUGUGUCUCAAGACUCGAGUAUAUCACUUCAGUUCCUUCAAUGGCCGCAACUGUUAUGCAGGGAUCAAAUCAAAUAUCAAGGGAUUCUGUAGUUCAGUCACUGAAAGAGUUGUCGGGGAAGCCUGCUGAACAAGUGUUUGUAAACAGUGUAAAACUACCAAGUGAUUCUAUUGUUGAAUUCUUCGAUGGUCUAUGUACUAUUUCUGCUGAAGAACUUAAACAGACACCUCCUCGUGUCUUCAGCUUGCAAAAGCUUGUUGAAAUAAGCUACUACAAUAUGGCACGGAUACGUUUGGUAUGCUUUUGUCUAUCAUUGUUUGCAUUAUGCUUCCUAUUGUUCUCUUAGCAAUUCUUGUGUUAUUUCAUGAGACUUAAUUUUCAGUGACAUAGUGAAGAGAUAAAUAAGUAGGUCGAAAUUGCUUACUUUCUUACUAUUAUAUGCCAUUGUAGAGGAUGCUUCAUUGAAUCAGGCAAUAUCUUCAUUCUGUGAGAAAGAUUUUUUAUUUUUUAUUCAAAGAAGAACUAACAUAAUUUUAUAUUAUGUUAGAAAGGCCUGCUUAUUUUUCAUUGAGAGCAUUAUGGGGGCAGGGGAGAGUUGAGACUGGUUUAUUCAGAAUUGUUUUUGUUUAGCCAUUGGCCAUUGGCCAUUCAGUUUAUGCCCAUGUAAACUAUAGAAUGACCCUAAUUUCUAAAUAUAUGAAGUUGUGGAUAUGCACCUAAUUGGUGAGCGUCCUUGAAUUUUACUCAACUGAGAGCCUGAACACCUAAUUUUUCAAGUUCUUCUGGAUGAAGGGAUGCACCCCUACCUGAUUUUUUUAAGAAAUAUGCUGUUUUACUGAAAUAUACAAUCGAACUGGGUACAAUCUACUGGAAUCUCUAGGGCGUGCUGAAAUCACAAUUUACUAUAUAAUUGGAGGUGAUUACCGGGUACCACUGCAAACAGGUUCAGUAGGGUUUAUUUACCAUUCUGUUUAGGGUCGCCGUGUUCAGCCAAUUGUCAGAUGGCCAUCUUUCCCUUCAAGAAAAAAUAGGAAAAUAAAAAGAAAAUCACUGUGCUGAGGAAUUUUAUCAAUAACUUGAUGGAGAUGGGCCUGCGAUUGUGUGCGGAGUGAGCAGAUACAGCAGCAUAUGCAGCCACCUCAGGUACAGUCUUGGAGGGUUGGUUUCUGGCUCGGCAGGAGAUAGGGGGCCACACCUGGGUUCAGCCCUUUCUGUGGUAUACCACAUGUGCACUGGGAAUGAUGUGCAGCAGUGGAGCGAGCACAUGUGAAUGGUCUGCGUAGGGGGGAUGGCGUCCCAAUUAAGUGGGGGAGAAAAAGUAAACUUCAUAGAAAAUGCGUGGGGAAAGUUUGGGCCUUUCUCAAAUAUAUGUUUGGCAAGUGGUAGAAAACGCCAUAGCUUAUGUGAAGCAGCACAAAGUUGUGGAUGAGCAACUUCACCUUGCUGCUACAAUGUGUGCAGCACAAGUGUUGAAGGAACAACUUCAACGUGCUGCGCUAGAUAUUGCUCUAGAGGCGAAUAUAGGCCGAUAGGGCAGCAGGAGUUCAAUCCAAAACUCAUAGAACGCUAGAUCUAGUCCAAGAUCUUAGAUAAGAACACCAAGUUCUAUUAUAGGCAGUGGGGGUACAUAGUCUCCCUACAAACUAGAGGUGAGGACCUCUAUUUAUAGGGCUUUGGGAAGCCUACACAUACUUCUACUUAUGGCUA
rnacentral:lncRNA from 1 species